rnacentral:rRNA from 1 species
GAUGAACGCUGACAGAAUGCUUAACACAUGCAAGUCAACUGGAAUUUGGGUUUUUAACUUAGGUUUGGGUGGCGGACGGGUGAGUAACGCGUAAAGAACUUGCCUCACAGCUAGGGACAACAUUUGGAAACGAAUGCUAAUACCUAAUAUUAUGAUAGUAGGGCAUCCUAUAAUUAUGAAAGCUAUAAGCGCUGUGAGAGAGCUUUGCGUCCCAUUAGCUAGUUGGAGAGGUAACGGCGCACCAAGGCGAUGAUGGGUAGCCGGCCUGAGAGGGUGAUCGGCCACAAGGGGACUGAGACACGGCCCUUACGCAUACGGGAGGCAGGAGUGGGGAAUAUUGGACAAUGGACCGAGAGUCUGAUGCAGCAAUUCUGUGUGCACGAUGAAGUUUUUCGGAAUGUAAAGUGCUUUCAGUUGGGAAGAAACAAAUGACGGUACCAACAGAAGAAGUGACGGCUAAAUACGUG